UCAAAGACUUAAACUUCAUUCCCAAUCUAAAUUUGAAGCCCUUCGUCAUAUCUUCUGCUAUAUACUUUGGAAAGUGCCUCUUAUUCUCCCUCACAUCCUCACCAUUAUCUAAAUUUGAAGACAACUCAUUUGUAUCAUAAUCUUCAUUUAUCUCAUGAUGUCCAACCUCUUCGUUAAUAAAAAAUGCCCCCUCAUUAUCUUCCAAUCUGCUCUUCACACUUUUAUUUUUCUUUUUCAUUCUCAUUCUCUUCCACCUAUCCAAAACUGGUUUAAUAUUUCUUCUCUUUUCCUCCACCGUCUCAUUGUCCAUCCCAAACCCAUCAUCAUCAUUUGCCAUUCUCUCCUCUUCAUUGUCAUCAACAUUUUCCACCCCUUCGCCCUCAACGACAUUGCCCUCUUCAUCCUCUUCCUCUUGCUCUUCCUCUU
rnacentral:lncRNA from 1 species